rnacentral:rRNA from 1 species
UACGUAGGGUGCGAGCGUGUCCGGAAUUAUUGGGCGUAAAGAGCUUGUAGGCGGUUUGUCGCGUCUGCUGUGAAAUCUCAAGGCUCAACCUUGAGCUUGCAGUGGGUACGGGCAGACUAGAGUGUGGUAGGGGAGACUGGAAUUCCUGGUGUAGCGGUGAAAUGCGCAGAUAUCAGGAAGAACACCCCGUGGCUAAGGGCGGUUUCUCUAGUACGGGUACUGACGCUUGAGAACGCGAAAGCGUGGGGGAGG